rnacentral:tRNA from 1 species
GCGGGGUGGAGCAGCACGGUAGCUCGUCGGGCUCAUAACCCGAAGGUCGCAGGUUCAAAUCCUGUCCCNCA